rnacentral:lncRNA from 1 species
GUCCUCUUUGACACCUACCUUACUCUCUCCCUCCACUCACACUCUGAGAACUGUGCUCAGGGGCAGCGCUACAACUUCCACAUUGGUCUUUACAGGGCUUGAGUGAUUAUUUCAAGAACAGAACGCUGUGUGGAAACCUUUACCAUAUUUCGUUGUAUCUAAGACACAUUUUUUUUUUUUGAAAUUUAACAUCUCUAAGGUUGGGUUAUGUUUCUUCAUCAUUGUCAGGUUGGAGCUUAAUCAGCAGCACUUUUUUUUAAUGUCACACACAGUAAUGGUGAUGCAUCUCACAAUUGAGAUCAUCUUAGACAUGAUGGAAUAUGGAAUCGUGUGCCUGUUACAAGCCAGGCUCUUGUCUGGGUUCUAGAGACGGUGGAAACCAAGACAGCACCAUCCUCUAGUGGUGUUCACAUCCCACCACAGUGGAGUCAGGACUUUGAAGUCCUCCAUUGGAUCUUCUCGGAAGAUGAGGGAAAUGAGAGAGUGUGGAGAGAGAUUUUGUAAGUCCGGUCUGGAAGUGGUCAUUGUUCAGAAUCCAGCCACGUGGGUACAUGGAACUGUAAGGCUAUUUCAACAUGGGAAACUGAAAUCGGGCAUAUCCCUGCGGAAGAAGCUGUCUCUUAGCGAAGAAUAAAACUGUGGACUGACCCCCACCCAUUUGCGAAGAAAGUACUGGGUCUUCAGCUUUCAUUGUUCAGCCGGUGGUCUUUGUGGACAACACCAGGGGCCCCUCCUGCUGAAGACUGUCUGGACUUCCUGAUUUUCACUCCUGUAUAAACCCCCUCCCCCAUUACUACCUUUGUCUCCUUGGGGAAAAAAAAUGUUUUUCACUUAAGCAAAAUAAUAACUACCCAGUAUUUGUUUCUGGAGUGAAAUUGUAAACUUCAUUGUACAUUCUUCCUGGCUUUGAUGCUUAUCGUGAAGAGUUCAGUGAAAAUAAAUUGUUUUUAUG